rnacentral:rRNA from 1 species
CCUACGGGAGGCAGCAGUAGGGAAUUUUCGUCAAUGGGCGCAAGCCUGAACGAGCAAUGCCGCGUGAACGAGGAAGGUCUUCGGAUCGUAAAGUUCUGUUGUAGGGGAAAAAGAGCGGAGAGAGGAAAUGGUCUCCGAUUGAUAUUACCCUUCGAGGAAGUCACGGCUAACUACGUGCCAGCAGCCGCGGUAAUACGUAGGUGGCGAGCGUUAUCCGGAAUGAUUGGGCGUAAAGGGUGCGUAGGCGGCCUGUUAAGUCUGGGGUGAAAGGUACCGGCUCAACCGGUAUAGGUCCUGGAAACUGGCGGGCUAGAGGGCAGGAGAGGGCGGUGGAACUCCAUGUGUAGCGGUAAAAUGCGUAGAGAUAUGGAAGAACACCAGUGGCGAAGGCGGCCGCCUGGCCUGUUACUGACGCUGAGGCACGAAAGCGUGGGGAGCAAAUAGGAUUAGAUACCCCUGUAGUC